rnacentral:lncRNA from 1 species
GAAAUUCCCUGCACCAAUUUCAACCAGGCUUGCUUUAUCACAUUCCCUCCGUGCCAGCCUAGCAACCUGCUCUGGUCUGUUUCCUGUCCCAACGGGGAAGAGGGGACUAUGUCUUUAAUGUCCACCAUUGAUGUAAAAACUGACUCCUAAGAGUGUAAUCGACCCAGUUAUGAGGCUCCCUUCGGGUACUGGAAGGCCACAGCGAUGCAGGUUUGUAAUUGGCCUUUCCUGCUCCGAGAUGGCCCCAGCUGCUGUGCCAUGUUCCUGGCUCCCAGCUCUGAGGCGCUGACUACAGGUCUCCCAUUGCCCUGGAAGUUUGUAGUUACAAGAUGUGAGUGGAGGAUUGGUUUAUUUUAGGUUUACAACUAUCCUAGGAUGAAAAACAGCCUUGAGAAAUGGUUCUUGAUAGUGGGAUACCAUUCACACUGAACACAAAAAUAAGCCCAGGUUCAGCUUUAAAAUUCAGAGCAUAUUACAUAUCCGAGUCCCAUAACCACUUCUACAUUUUGUGCAGUGUAAAUUUGUUCAGUGUUUCCAUUCACUGAGAGAAGUCAGGGACUUCCAAAGAACCCACCACUUGUCAGGAUGCUGGCUUACAUACACCUGCUUUGUCGCUUCACUGUGGGCUAUGAUUAAAGCUAUGUUAUCCCA